UAUUUCUUAGGCAGCACAUGUGUCUGCUGCGCCAGAUGUCAGAGCCAUUGAGUCAGGAAAGCAAAGCGGCUGGCUUGAGGUGGUGGAGAGCCACAGAAAAUUGAGGCAGAAUCAAUGACUUAGUAGCCAGGAGCAGGAACCAUUCAGAAUCUACUCCAAGGGCAAGAUUUUGGAGCUUCUGCUUCUGGGCUUCUACUGUACUGACGCCACUCACUAAGUCCCUAUUUGGACCUUGAAUAUCAUGUGAGAAGCCCUGGAGAACUGACUGAGAGUCAGAUCUCAAGCUCGACUCCCAAAGUCUCAGUUUGGCACAGAGCAUGUUUACUCAGAGUUGAAAGUAUCAGUUCCAGAGUAUUAAGAUCCCACUUCCGGAUUCAAAUGAGAUCAACAGACCCUGCUUGUAGAUACAUGCAGAGAAAUCAUCCAAUAUGUCUGCAAAACACAUCAGUGCUUGGCCGUCAACACUGAGGCUUUAGAGUGAGCAUUCGGUUUCCUUGGCACACACAGGACUUUUCUAGAGUACAGUUGCAAGUCAUGGGCUUGAUGUUCCUGCCAGAAUGUCCAAAAUGGGAAGAGAGCAACUUGUGAAGAAACACAAAACUUGACAACAAUCAAAGGUCACCAGAAAUCUGUUUAUGUGAUGGGUUCUUUGCUUAGCUUUUAACAGAUUAAU